rnacentral:snoRNA from 1 species
UGUCAGAUAACUAUGGUGAGUUAUUUCCAAGCAUAUAUCUGACUGCUUCUUGUGGAAACCUGUCUUUUUCUGAGUCAACUGUGA